UGCUGCCCCGCAGGGUCAGCGGCGGCUCUGCCCUAAGCCAGGAGACCCGAGCACUCGGUUGCCUCCAAAUGCCACGUGACUGCUUCCCACUGCGCCAUUUUCUAUGUGAUGCCAGCUGGAUGCAUCAAACCCUGCCCUGAAUGGUUAAGGCACUGAGGCCCCAGGUGGCCACGAGCUUGUCUGGGACGUGAGAGAGCAUCGUCUAUCACUGGGGGUCACUGCCACGUACUGGAGACCUCCCCACACGGGGCCCCACCUUCUGUCUGAGCCACCCUGCGUCCCUCCACCUGCACCCACCUGCCAAGGUGCACCUCCUCCAGGGCGCGGCCUCCUAGCGGGCGCCCACUUCCCACAGUGCGUGGGCCCCUUCCACUGCUGAGCACCCACCCUGAUGUGGGGCGCCAGGCCCCACCUGGGGGCCCUGCUGGCAGACAGGACCACGCUGGGGGGACUGCACGCGAGGGGGGAGGGGUCCACUGCCCUGUCCCUCCCGCCCUCGGCUCACCUGACUUUGGGGACGUGGUGCCUGCUGCUCUUGGGGCCUCAGCACCCCGCUUGCCGCCUAGCGCAUCUUUGGUGGCCGGAGGAGACGAAACUGAGGGGCUGGGGGCUGGUUUGGGAGUGGUCUUUGAAGCCUGGGAGGUGCCUGGAGUCAGUCCAGGUGGCACAUCGGCCGAUCUUCACUGAGACACGUUUUAAACAGGAAGGUUUGCUAUCCUAUCACUGCUGCAAAUGGAAAAGCACUAGCGCGCCACGUACAGACAAUGACCGGAAAGGAAACUCCACCUGUUAACGACUGUAUCUGGGGAUCACCUAAAAUCAAGGGUCUCCUUCCUGGCUGGGGCUGCACCUACCGGAGGAGCACAGGUGGCCUGCUGGAGUCCCAGGUACCCCUGCCAGCUGGGCAUGGAGAGCCCUUCGGGGGGUCCCGGGACAGCCUGGGCCCUGUGCGCAACUUCAUCUGCUCCCACUGCUCCUUCCCAGGUUAACUGCGACUCACAGCAUUUCAGGUGAGGCAGCUGAAUGCCAAAGCUUCGAAUUCCCAGGGGAGGCGUGGCCCUGGGACCUGAGGGGUCAGUGACAGGAGCCUGAAGCCCAAAGGUGUCUGGCAUCUCGUGGAGGCCCAGGCUGGCCACCGGACGAGUGGAGAUGCAGAGUGAGGCCUGAGCCUCAGGCUGCACCAGGACCCUUACCCGGCCCGGGGGCCCCCGGGGCCACCCGGGGCCCCGCAGCUUCGAAUUCCCAGGGGAGGCGUGGCCCUGGGACCUGAGGGGUCAGUGACAGGAGCCUGAAGCCCAAAGGUGUCUGGCAUCUCGUGGAGGCCCAGGCUGGCCACCGGACGAGUGGAGAUGCAGAGUGAGGCCUGAGCCUCAGGCUGCACCAGGACCCUUACCCGGCCCGGGGGCCCCCGGGGCCACCCGGGGCCCCGCAGCGUCGUCCUCGCUCCCCGAAGAGCUGCUGCUGCUGCCGUCCUCGCUGUCCUCUGAGGUCCCAGAGGCCUUGGCCUUGGGGCGUUUUGAGGGAGGGGCUGCAGGAACCCCAGGCUUUCUGAGCUCGUUGGCCCCUCUGGUCUGUGCAGGGGCGCUCUGGGGACGUGUCGUGGGGAGUGUCCCCAGACCGUCGGUCUAGUUUGGAGAGAGAGCGGAAGGAACAAUCAGGGGGCAGGAUCGGGGCCUGCUGAGCAGCUCAGUCAAGGGCAGGCACCGUGUGACCUGCUCUGCACAUGGGCCUCAUUGAACCCCCGUGGCUGAGACGGGCGGCAGAAGCCGAGCAGGCGGGUGCGGGCACUAGGGCCCCCGGGCAGCUAGGUGCUGGUGCCAGGUCCCCCUGUGGUCUCGGACCACUGUGCCCUCCGCGCUGGGCCUGCCCACCCCCGCUGCCCAGCUCACCGCACUCGAGGACGGGGUCCUGGCGGCAGCAGGGCGGCCCUCACUGGCUUUCUGGGCGAGGACCUUCAGGGCGGCCUGGGUCAGCGGGAGGUCAGCUGGGCUCCUCUUGGUCACCUGUCGGGGCCGAAGGCAGCCUGAGACUCCCAGGUCCUCCAGAUGCCACCCAGGCCACCCGGGGCCAGUUCCUGCCCAGCAGGGGGAGGGCCCCAGAGCUGCAGGAAGAAAUGUGGGCCUGAGGGCACGGAGCACUGCCGCCACCUGGGCAGAAAGCGGGGCCGCGAGCUCCUCUCGCUCUCGG
ensembl:lncRNA